rnacentral:rRNA from 1 species
UACGGAAGGCAGCAGGGGGAAUAUUGCACAAUGGGCGAAAGCCUGAUGCAGCUAUGCCGCGUGUAUGAAGAAGGCCUUAGGGUUGUAAAGUACUUUCAUCGGGGAGGAAAAAACAAAACUAAUAAUUUUAUUUCUUGACGUUACCCGAAAAAGAAGCACCGGCUAACUCCGUGCCAGCAGCCGCGGUAAUACGGAGGGUGCUAGCGUUAAUCAGAAUUACUGGGCGUAAAGAGCACGUAGGUGGUUUUUUUAAAGUCAGAUGUGAAAUCCCUGGGCUUAACCUGGAACUGCAUUUUGAAACUGAAAUACUAGAGUAUCGUAGAGGGAGGUAGAAUUCUAGGUGUAGCGGUGAAAUGCGUAGAUAUCUGGAGGAAUACCUGUGGCGAAAGCGGCCUCCUAAACGAAUACUGACACUGAGGGUGCGAAAGCGUGGGGAGCAAACGAGGGAUUAGAUACC